CCUCAGGUUUUAUUGAAAACCACACACACACAUUUAAAAUUCUUC
rfam:Papio anubis isolate 1X1155 chromosome 11, whole genome shotgun sequence.